UAGAAUGGGGUGUAAUGGGUAGCACGGAGAAUUUUGGAUUC
rnacentral:tRNA from 1 species